AUUAAAAGUAGUCUUUGAACUUCAAUAAUGUCAAGGCUUUCACCUCUAACCCGCUGCAAUAAAGUGGAAUCAAGGAGCCCCUUUUGCCCGGAAAUUUGCGCAGGAGGGGUAUCGACCAAUGGGAGUGAGUGGGAACAGAAAAAGGAAUGUGUAGAGAGUCCAACUUUGACCCCUCCCAUUAAACUACAGCAGUCACCCUCCAGAAUGAAGCUGAGGGCGGAAGAGGGGGAUGUUGUUUGUGACAGGAGAUGAGGAGGGAGAUGCUAGAAGGCAGAGAUCAAGGCUAGAAGACUUCACUUGUCACACCCACCAACCUUGGCCCUGGGACGAUGACGUCGGUAAUUUGUUGGAUUUCUUUGCCACACAUAUUCACCGUCCUCUGCAGAGGCUCGAGGCUCCUCAAACUGCCUAUCAACCACAGGGGGCCAGAAUUCACCCCGGAAUGUGUUGGUCGCACAAUGGGAGAGCAUUGUUUUGUUUCCUUUCCUUCAAUAGGCUUUAUAAAGUUAUAGGACACUAGAAACAUCAUGUUAUUAUUUUGAUGGAUGCUUUUAUUCAUACGUCAUUAAAAUGUAGGCCUACAUGGAAUCUUCGAUAUUGAAUUACAUUUUAUUUUGUUUUAGUUGUCUUAUAGUUUUAAUGUGAUGGUCGUGGUUGAUCCUGAGAAACGACGAGAGAAGGGAUACUAUGCAGCCGGCGGUUGGUUCAGUUGAGCUGAUCCCGUUGGGCGCUUGGCUAUUAGGAAGGAAAAUGGCGGGUCUGUCACAGACGAACGCAAAGAGACGGCCAGGAGAAUGGCAUUUCGUAAGAGCAAGUACAUAGCAGGUGAUUCAAUAAUGUUGAAAAGGAACUAACCUAACAAAUAGCGAAAUCUUGAAUGACUCUUUUCGAAGUGAUAGUAGCUAAUGGUUAUUUGAAUGGAUUCUAUGGCAUUUUAGGCACCGAUCAAAUAAUUAGAAUGUAUGUGUUUUUGACUCCAUGUAUGUGUCAUUGUUAUGGUUUAUGUGUUUUGUGAGUACUGAAGGACUAUUUACUUUCUUUGGUGUUUUUAACAUUCCUUUAUCUUAUCCAUACAUGGUUUCAGUUGGGAAGUAUAAAUAUAUUGUCUAAAUUACGUUUCGUUGUA
ensembl:lncRNA